rnacentral:lncRNA from 10 species
UUACUAUGUGCUUUACAUGUAUUGCAUCUUCACAAAAUCCUUGAGUUGGGUAGUAGCAGCGCCACUUUGCAGGUGAGGAAAACUGCAGCACAGAGAAGUUGAAUAACUUGCCCAAGUUCACACCGCUGUAAGUAGCAGAGCUGAGAUGAGGCUCAUCUGUUCUAGUUGGUAAACCUCUGCUCUAAGCAAUAGGGUGGCAAGUGAUGAAUUCGUGAGCCCCCAGGCCAAGUCGUUCAAGGAAGAUGGGGUAGAGUUUGUCAAUUACAAUGAUAAAACAUAGGCCUUGCUUUCUGUUACUAGAAAUUAUUUUGAGGUAGAGACUAGACAAAAGCAUCUUACCCAUAACAUAUGGUAGCAUAUGAUGAGAUGACAAAAAAUAUCCUGUGUCCCAUAGGAUCUGCUCUCUGCUUGUCUCUCAGACUUUAAUUCCAUCUUCCGUCUUUAAUUCCAGCCUCUCUGCUGUCCUCCUGGUCCUUGUGCUGGGACUUAGCAUGUGUUGUUCCCUCUAUCUGAAUUGAUGGUGGGUGGGAUCUGGUUGGGGGUCGUCAUUUGCCACACUCUGCCUUGGAUCUCACAGACAGCUCUUUCUUGUGCCUCCAGCUCUGCUCAGCUCGGCUCUUGGCUUCUCAGAGAGGCCUUUCCUGACUUCCCUGGCUAAAGUUGCCUCUUUCCUCCUCCUAGUCAUCUCUUUCUCAUCAGCUUAAAAAAUGAAUAGCGCUUAUUAUCUUAAGAGUUUCAUAUUCAUACUUAGUUUCUUUGCAUAGAGUGGGUCUUCCUGUGCUAGAAUAUAAGUUCCACAAGAGCAAGGAGGUUGUCUGUGCUGCUCUUUGCUCUUUC